UAAUCACUUUAUCAUUACUUUGAAUAAAAUAGAGUGUUUAAAGCAAAACAUUAAGUUAAUGAAUAUUCAAGCAUGGGACAAUGCUGAGGGGAUGUCUUCGGACAUUUCGAGAGAAGGAUUAAAAGGAACAAUUGGGGUGAUUCAGAAAAUAACGGGAGAGGUGAAAUUCCAUGAUCGCUAUAAGAUGCACGAGAGCGAAAGCAUUUCACUCAACUGGGUCCAUUAAUCAAGAACGAAAGUUAGGGGAUCGAAGACGAUCAGAUACCCUCGUAGUCCUAACUAUAAACGAUGUCAACCAAGGAUUGGAUGAAAUAAAGAAAUUCGCGGAUGAAGAAACAUUGUUUCGGAAACCAAGAGUUUCACAACUACCUUGUUCAGAACUUAAAGAGAAAUCUCGAGUUUAUGGACUUCAGGGGGAGUAUGGUCACAAGGCUGAAACUUAAAGGAAUUGACGGAAGGGCACACCAGGAGUGGAGCCUGCGGCUUAAUUUGACUCAACACGGGAAAACUUACCAAGACCGAACAGUAGAAGGAAUGACAGAUUAAGAGUUCUUUCAUGAUUUAUUGGGUAGUGGUGCAUGGCCGUUCUUAGUUGGUGGAGUGAUUUGUCAGGUUAAUUCCGGUAACGAACGAGACUGAAACCUAUUAAUUAGUUUCCUGCCUAUACGACAGGAAUCUCCGCAAGGUCAGGUGCCUCGGUACCACUUCUUAAAGGGACACAUUUCAAUUGUCU
rnacentral:rRNA from 1 species